rnacentral:rRNA from 1 species
UACGAGGGGGGCGAGCGUUGUUCGGAAUUAUUGGGCGUAAAGGGCGCGUAGGCGGUGCGGUAAGUCACCUGUGAAACCUCUGGGCUUAACUCAGAGCCUGCAGGCGAAACUGCCGUGCUGGAGUGUGGGAGAGGUGCGUGGAAUUCCCGGUGUAGCGGUGAAAUGCGCAGAUAUCAGGAGGAACACCGGUGGCGAAGGCGGAUCUCUGGGCCGAUACUGACGCUGAGGAGCGAAAGCGUGGGGAGCGAACAGG